rnacentral:pre_miRNA from 1 species
UUGUGACCCAUGGGGUUCCCUUUGUCAUCCUAUGCCUGAGAAUACUGGAGAGGCAGGGACAGCAAGGGGACGCUCAGAUGUCACCACU